rnacentral:rRNA from 1 species
UACGUAGGGCGCAAGCGUUGUCCGGAAUUAUUGGGCGUAAAGAGCUCGUAGGCGGCCAGUUGCGUCCGCUGUGAAAUCCCGGGGCUUAACCCCGGGCGUGCAGUGGAUACGGGCUGGCUAGAGGCAGGCAGGGGAGAAUGGAAUUCCCGGUGUAGCGGUGAAAUGCGCAGAUAUCGGGAGGAACACCGGUGGCGAAGGCGGUUCUCUGGGCCUGACCUGACGCUGAGGAGCGAAAGCGUGGGGAGCGAACAGG